rnacentral:rRNA from 1 species
GACGAACGCUGGCGGCGUGCUUAACACAUGCAAGUCGAACGGUGAACCAGGGCUUGCCCUGGGGAUCAGUGGCGAACGGGUGAGUAACACGUGGGCAACCUGCCCCUGACUCUGGGAUAACUCCUCGAAAGAGGUGCUAAUACCGGAUACGACCACUUCGGGCAUCCGAUGGUGGUGGAAAGAAUUUUGGUCAGGGAUGGGCCCGCGGCCUAUCAGCUUGUUGGUGGGGUAACGGCCCACCAAGGCGACGACGGGUAGCCGGCCUGAGAGGGCGACCGGCCACACUGGGACUGAGACACGGCCCAGACUCCUACGGGAGGCAGCAGUGGGAAAUAUUGCGCAAUGGGCGAAAGCCUGACGCAGCGACGCCGCGUGAGGGACGACGGGCCCUUCGGGUUGGUUAAACCCGUACUUUCCUAGCAGGGACGAAGCGAAAGUGACGGUACCUGCAGAAGAAGCACCGGCUAACUACGUGCCAGCAGCCGCGGUAAU